CAAACGCAAUUUAUUUUGGAUUUCAAUUUGGACGCAUUACACGGAAACCUGUCAAUCAGUGUCAGGGGUGCGUCUAUACUGUGGGACGUGAUUGUAUGGGACGUGAUGUCACUCGCAGUCGACCGCAUUUUGUCGGUGUCCCGGGCAUCAUUGCGAACAGAAGAUUGGGCCUUAGUAAUGUACAGUUAUGUCAUAAUGGAAAAGUCAAUUUCCCAGCUACUGCGAGUGGCGGCUGCAGCUCUGGAACAACAUGGAAUCCCGACUGAUGUUGUCUGGACUACAUCAUCGACUGCUCCUACCCCUGCAAUAAGGGGGCGCAAGAAGUGACUGUCAAGGUGCACAUAGUAAAGUGAGCAAGUUGUUUGCCCCAUAUGCACGUUCACCAGUGGGGUCACGGAAGAGAUCAUGCAGUUCAGCUCUGCCAGCAAAGAAAUCGAAGACCAUUACAUAUAUCCACAGGUUGUUGUUUUUUUUUUGCUUGUCUAAAAGAAGAGGCUGUGAGGUUCCAAACCCAUCUGAGAAGUUGAAGCUGGAGAGCUGAUCUGGGGGAAAAAAUAUUUUCCUAGAUAAAUAUUGUCAGCCAAAGGAGUUUACAGAUUACCUCUGCUGAAAGAUGCUGGAGGCUAUGAACUUCUUAAGGCUUGAUGUGCUAUGCGCUCAAAGUCAUUGGAGAUAAUCCCUUGUUCUGAUGAUGGAU